CAAGCACUGCAAAGGCAGUGGCUGGCUGGCUGGAAGCUGUGAGUGAGCUUGUUUUUCCAACUGAGGGACUUGGAAGGAGAUGAUGGAAAUGGUUCUUGGCACACUUGACUAUGAGGGCUGCAGGAUCUUCCAUGAAGGAUAAAGAUUGGUUUUACCACCACCACCUGGAAGACCUGCAUGUCAGAUAUACCUAUGGGAACAUAUGGAUGGACACUAUGGAUGUGCUAGAAUUCCACCCAAUUCAGAUUUGAUCCCGGACAACCACACAGUCUCCAGUUUCUGGGUUUCACCUGGGAAGCAAUUAACACACAAACAUACAAAAAGAGGAAGAGA